CUGGGAAUAUUGCGCAAUGGGCGAAAGCCUGACGCAGCGACACCGCGUGUGGGAUGACGCUCCUCGGAGUGUAAACCACUGUGGCAGGGGAUGAAAUUUUGACAGUACCCUGCUAGAAAGCACCUGCUAACCACGUGCCAGAAGCCUCGGUAAUACGUGGGGUGCAAGCGUUAUCCGGAUUUACUGGGCGUAAAGGGUCCGUCGGCGACCCACCAAGUUCUAUGUUCAAGUCUGGGGCUCAACUCCAGAAAAGCAAAGAAUACUAGUGGGAUUGAGUGUGUUCGGGGAAGUUAGAAUUCUCGGUGGAGGGGUGAAAUCCGUAGAUAUCGAGAGGAAUGCCAAUCGCGAAGGCUGGCUUCUAGAACAUUACUGACGCUCAGGGACGAAAAGCUAGGGUAGCAAAAGCGGAUUAGAGACCCGUGUAGUCCUAGCCGUAAAACACUCCUUGCUAGCUGUCCUCACUUUAUGUGGGGGCGUGUAAGCU
rnacentral:rRNA from 1 species